CGGCAGGCCUAACACAUGCAAGUCGAACGGUAACAGGAAGCAGCUUGCUGCUUUGCUGACGAGUGGCGGACGGGUGAGUAAUGUCUGGGAAACUGCCCGAUGGAGGGGGAUAACUACUGGAAACGGUAGCUAAUACCGCAUAAUGUCGCAAGACCAAAGAGGGGGACCUUCGGGCCUCUUGCCAUANGAUGUGCCCAGAUGGGAUUAGCUUGUUGGUGAGGUAACGGCUCACCAAGGCGACGAUCCCUAGCUGGUCUGAGAGGAUGACCAGCCACACUGGAACUGAGACACGGUCCAGACUCCUACGGGAGGCAGCAGUGGGGAAUAUUGCACAAUGGGCGCAAGCCUGAUGCAGCCAUGCCGCGUGUAUGAAGAAGGCCUUCGGGUUGUAAAGUACUUUCAGCGGGGAGGAAGGGGUUAAGGUUAAUAACCUUAGCCAUUGACGUUACCCGCAGAAGAAGCACCGGCUAACUCCGUGCCAGCAGCCGCGGUAAUACGGAGGGUGCAAGCGUUAAUCGGAAUUACUGGGCGUAAAGCGCACGCAGGCGGUCUGUCAAGUCGGAUGUGAAAUCCCCGGGCUCAACCUGGGAACUGCAUUCGAAACUGGCAGGCUUGAGUCUCGUAGAGGGGGGUAGAAUUCCAGGUGUAGCGGUGAAAUGCGUAUAGAUCUGGAGGAAUACCGGUGGCGAAGGCGGCCCCCUGGACGAAGACUGACGCUCAGGUGCGAAAGCGUGGGGAGCAAACAGGAUUAGAUACCCUGGUAGUCCACGCCGUAACGAUGUCUAUUGGAG
rnacentral:rRNA from 1 species